GACGAACGCUGGCGGCGUGCCUAAUACAUGCAAGUCGAGCGGACAGAAGGGAGCUUGCUCCCGGAAGUUAGCGGCGGACGGGUGAGUAACACGUGGGCAACCUACCCUGUAGAUCGGGAUAACAUCGAGAAAUCGGUGCUAAUACCGGAUAAUCAUUUGAAGUGCAUGCUUCGAAUGUAAAAGAUGGCUCCGGCUAUCACUACGGGAUGGGCCCGCGGCGCAUUAGCUAGUUGGUAAGGUAAUGGCUUACCAAGGCAGCGAUGCGUAGCCGACCUGAGAGGGUGAUCGGCCACACUGGGACUGAGACACGGCCCAGACUCCUACGGGAGGCAGCAGUAGGAAAUCUUCCGCAAUGGACGAAAGUCUGACGGAGCAACGCCGCGUGAGUGAUGAAGGUUUUCGGAUCGUAAAGCUCUGUUGUUAGGGAAGAACAAGUGCCGUUUGAAUAAGGCGGCACCUUGACGGUGCCUAACCAGAAAGCCACGGCUAACUACGUGCCAGCAGCCGCCGUAAUAC
rnacentral:rRNA from 1 species